rnacentral:rRNA from 1 species
UACAGAGGUCCCAAGCGUUGUUCGGAUUCACUGGGCGUAAAGGGUGCGUAGGUGGUGAGGUAAGUUUGAUGUGAAAUCUCCGGGCUCAACCCGGAAAUGGCAUUGAAUACUAUCUUGCUAGAGGAGUGGAGGGGGGACUGGAAUACUUGGUGUAGCAGUGAAAUGCGUAGAUAUCAAGUGGAACACCAGUGGCGAAGGCGACUACCUGGCCUGUUCUUGACGCUGAGGCGCGAAAGCUAGGGGAGCAAACGGG